rfam:Paenibacillus polymyxa SC2, complete genome.
UGAUGAGGUAGAGGUCGCGGAUGUAAUCAGUACACUGGAGGAGACGACAAGAGCCGUCUGAGAUUCCAGUAGAAAGGUACACCCGCCGAAGUAUGCGGAGCCGACUCUUUGUAAAUACUCCGUAUGCUGGGGCUGCUAACCGAAAGGAGCAGAACUGUCACGCGAUGUCCUAACACAGACACGUGUGUUGAGCUAUCUUGUUA